rnacentral:rRNA from 1 species
UUUCUUGAUUUUGUGGGUGGUGGUGCAUGGCCGUUUUUAGUCGGUGGAGUGAUUUGUCUGCUUAAUUGCGAUAACGAACGAGACCUUAACCUGCUAAAUAGCCCGUAUUGCUUUGGCAGUACGCUGGUUUUUUAGAGGGACUAUCGGCUCAAGCCGAGAAAGUUUGAGGCAAUAAACAGUUUUGAUGCCCUUAGAUGUUCGGGCCGCACGCGCGCUACACUGACGGAGCCAGCGAGUACUUCCUUGUCCGAAAGGUCCGGGUAAUCUUGUUAAACUCCGUCGUGCUGGGGA